rnacentral:rRNA from 1 species
CCUACGGUGGGCAGCAGUAGGGAAUCUUCCACAAUGGACGAAAGUCUGAUGGAGCAACGCCGCGUGCGUGAAGACGGGUUUCGGCUCGUAAAGCUCUGUUUGUAGUGAAGUAAGAUUGAGGUAGUAAAUUACCCUUAUUUGACGGUAAUUAUUUAGAAAGUCACGGUUAACUACGUGCUAGCAGCCGCGGUAAUACGUAGGUGGCAAGCGUUGUCCGGAUUUAUUGGGCGUAAAGCGAGUGCAGGCGGUUCAAUAAGUCUGAUGUGAAAGCCUUGGGCUCAACCGGAGAAUUGCAUCAGAGACUGUUGAACUUGAGUGCAGAAGAGGAGGGUGGAAC